rnacentral:rRNA from 1 species
CCUACGGGUGGCAGCAGUGGGGGAUAUUGCACAAUGGGGGAAACCCUGAUGCAGCGACGCCGCGUGAGUGAAGAAGUAUUUCGGUAUGUAAAGCUCUAUCAGCAGGGAAGAAAAUGUUAGUAUCUGACCAAGAAGCGCCGGCUAACUACGUGCCAGCAGCCGCGGUAAUACGUAGGGGGCAAGCGUUCUCCGGAUUUACUGGGUGUAAAGGGAGCGUAGGCGGUUAUGUAAGACUGGAGUGAAAGCCCGGGGCCCAACCCCGGGACAACAUUGGAAACUGGGUAGCUGGAGUACAGGAGAGGCGGGCGGAAUUCCUGGUGUAGCGGUGAAAUGCGUAGAGAUCAGGAGGAACACCGGCGGCGAAGGCGGCCUGCUGGACUGAAACUGACGUUGAGGCUCGAAAGCGUGGGGAGCAAACAGGAUUAGAUACCCUGGUAGUC